ensembl:miRNA MIR128-1 microRNA 128-1
AGCUGUUGGAUUCGGGGCCGUAACACUGUCUGAGAGGGUUACAUAUCUCACAGUGAACCGGUCUCUUUUUCAGCUGCUU